UACGAAGGGGGCUAGCGUUGUUCGGAUUUACUGGGCGUAAAGCGCGCGUAGGCGGCUUGUUAAGUCAGGGGUGAAAUCCCGGAGCUCAACUCCGGAACUGCCUUUGAUACUGGCAAGCUAGAGUCCGGAAGAGGUAAGUGGAACUCCUAGUGUAGAGGUGGAAUUCGUAGAUAUUAGGAAGAACACCAGUGGCGAAGGCGGCUUACUGGUCCGGAACUGACGCUGAGGUGCGAAAGCGUGGGGAGCAAACAGG
rnacentral:rRNA from 1 species